UACGAAGGGAGCUAGCGUUGUUCGGAAUCACUGGGCGUAAAGCGCACGUAGGCGGAUUUGCCAGUCAGGGGUGAAAUCCCGGGGCUCAACCUCGGAACUGCCUUUGAUACAGCAAGUCUUGAGUUCGAGAGAGGUGGGUGGAAUUCCUAGUGUAGAGGUGAAAUUCGUAGAUAUUAGGAAGAACACCGGUGGCGAAGGCGGCCCACUGGCUCGAUACUGACGCUGAGGUGCGAAGGCGUGGGGAGCAAACAGG
rnacentral:rRNA from 1 species